rnacentral:rRNA from 1 species
AUUGAACGCUGGCGGCAGGCUUAACACAUGCAAGUCGAGCGGAGAUGAGGUGCUUGCACCUUAUCUUAGCGGCGGACGGGUGAGUAAUGCUUAGGAAUCUGCCUAUUAGUGGGGGACAACAUUCCGAAAGGAAUGCUAAUACCGCAUACGCCCUACGGGGGAAAGCAGGGGAUCUUCGGACCUUGCGCUAAUAGAUGAGCCUAAGUCGGAUUAGCUAGUUGGUGGGGUAAAGGCCUACCAAGGCGACGAUCUGUAGCGGGUCUGAGGGGAUGAUCAGCCACACUGGGACUGCGCAACGGCCCAGACUCCUGCGGGAGGCAGCAGUGGGGAAUAUUGGGCAAUGGGCGGAAGCCUGAUCCAGCCAUGCCGCGUGUGUGAAGAAGGCCUUUUGGUUGUAAAGCACUUUAAGCGAGGAGGAGGCUACCUGGAUUAAUACUCUAGGAUAGUGGACGUUACUCGCAGAAUAAGCACCGGCUAACUCUGUGCCAGCAGCCGCCGUAAAAC